UUUUAAAGUUACAAGAAAGGCCUUCGGCCAAAACAGCCCACUAGAAGUAAACACAGCCCGAAGACAAACCCAACCCGAAGGCAAACUAAAACCCAAGCAACAGAACCAGCCCAGAGCUAGCCAAACCCAAAGCAAAAAGAACUUCAUGUAGCAGUUGAAACCAUUACAUGAAGAUCUUAAACACUGAUCCGGUGACUAAACCUACGGCGAUGGAGAGGUAGUCUCCAUGAAUCUCAGUCCUGUGGCCUCGGAGGAGAUCUGCAACAAGAUGGAGAAAGAUUCCAGCUACUCGGAAUCGAUCUAGAAGCCAUGCAAUCCCUAAGACAACCCAGACGUAGGAGUGAGGUGAUUGAAUUGCAGACUUUAGCUAGAACCGUGCUCUGCGAAUCUGAUUCCCUCUGAAGAUGCGAUUGUUCCUCUCUUCCUAGGUGUGAUAUACCAAUGCUGAAAGACAGACUUUCCUUAGAGUGUUGAUUGGUGAGCUUGACUUCCAUCGAACACUGAUCCAUAGAAUUUUUUUUUUUUCCCCUAAAUGAUCCAUAGAAUUAUUUCUUCCCAAUUGUGAAAAGCUUUAUGGAACCCGCAUCUGUCUUGGAUGAAUUUCCAAAGAGGGGAAGAAAAGGUGCAGUUGAAGAAUAGAUUAACGUGGGACUCCGUUUCAGUAUUGCAAAGGGCACAAACGUUAUCAUGGUGAGCCAUGGCUCUGCAAUCAAGGUUUGGAAGCCUGCCCUGAACAGCCAGCCACAUGUUGAAUUUCAUUCUCGGGAUGGAAGGUGUAUGCCAUACAAAGUUGUGCCAAGGAACUGUAGGACCAUGAUUUGAUAGGUGGAAAGUUGUGUGCUUCAAGGUGAAUGAACCAGAAGGGGACACAGACCAAAUCAAUUUGUCGUCCCUGAAAGCAGCAGGUUGUUGUAGAGAGAGGAGUUCAGGGAUUGCAGAGGAUAAUUGAGGUGGAAAGCUCCAAGAAUUGUUGACAAUAAAGUGAGCCAGUUUUGUGUCUUCAUGUAUACCCAAAAAGGAGAGGAUGGAUGGUGGAAAUCGAAAGCAUAGAGGCCCUCCAGAGGACCAAUUAUCCAACCAAAAUGAGUGUGAAGUUCCCAAAUAUAUCUCAGGAUAGCUGCAUGGUUGGACAAUUCUAGGUUGGGCAGACCCAAACCCCCUUCAACCUUAGGUUUGCACAUUGCUUCCCAAUUUAUCUUUCCUCCAUUGGAUUUCAUCUCUGGGCCAUACCAUAAGAAUGAUCUGAAAAUCCUAUUGACUUCAUUGAUAACACUCUUUGGAAGAAUGAAGAUGCUGGACCAAUAAAGCUGUGUGGAUACAAGGACAGAUCUAACAAGCUGCAAUCUACCUGCAUAAGAGUGAGAUCUUGCAGUCCAAUGAGAGAUUCUGUAAGUAAUCUUCUCUAUCAGUUCUCCGUAUUUUCUUAUUUGUGGUUACGUAUGAUAUUUUUUUUUGGUUUUUGGUAUUUGUUGUUGAUUGUGGUUAUGUAUGAUAUUUUUUUAUGGUCUAAGCAUGAAAAUGGAUUUUACUA